UAGCAAACUCCUUCCGACAGGCAGACAAACUGUCUGUGAAGUCCUGCUCCCUCCUCCCUCCUCCCUUCCUCACUCAGCUGGCUGUCAGCUAUUGUCAGUGGCGCCGAGCCGAGCUCCCAGACGCAGCAUCUCACAGCAGGUGCCCUUCCUCCCCACUCACCCCUUUGGCCUGGACGGCAGUAAAUCAACAUAUUUUGUUGAUUGAGACUGCUUUCUUGUGGCAUCUAAACAGUGCUGAUAAGACGAGGUCAGGAAGUGGCUGUGUGCUGGGGGCGUGGCUACAGUUACAUGACAGGCCUGUGGGCUAAUAGAAACAGUAUAGUGUUGGGAGGGUAGAACCUGUUCUGUGUACACUGUACACAGGAAGAGGAAGCAUAAUGGAACUGUGCGUUCCAUUUCUUUCUGUCCUGUGUUCCACUUUACUUUGCUGCACAGAGUGAGAGCACACUGCAUUCCUGCACCCAGAGACCAGCCAGAGGGACUAUCCUGCCAGUCUGCCACAGGGACCAUCCUGCCAGUCAGUCACAGGGACCAUCCUGCCAGUCAGUCACAGGGACCAUCCUGCCAGUCAGUCACAGGGACCAGCCUGUUGCAGAGGGGCCAUACAACCGGUGUCGACGGGUCCCUGGGUGUCAAGGUUUUAGGCACGGAGGAACCGGAGGCUGAGGAGGGAUGCGGCUGCAGCGGCAGCAGAAGACGCACCGCCGCGGUCGGUGGCGGUGGAGGCUGAUGGUGUUUUAGGUCCUUCAGACAUCGGGGGUCGGUCUGAGAUGCGGCUACGGAAAGUAUUUUUUCUGGGCCUGCCCUAUAUUGAUGUACUGCCUGGAGGGGACUGGUUACAAGAGCAGCGCCAGUGCUCUGCCACUUGCUGGAGCUCCUCGAUUUUACACCCUGCCUAAUGAGUCUCGGGAUCAGAAGUUGGUUGGAAACAGAAGAGAGGCAUCCAGAUAUGGUUCCUUGGCAGGUUCUUUAAACAUUGCAGCCACU